rnacentral:rRNA from 1 species
UAAUACCUGGGGGGCAAGCGUUGUCCGGAUUUAUUGGGCGUAAAGGGCUCGUAGGUGGAUUGACCAGUCAAAAUUGAAAUACAAUGGCUUAACCAUUGAAACGGUUUUGAUACUAUCAAUCUUGAGUGAAAUAGAGGUAAGCGGAAUUCCUGGUGUAGCGGUGAAAUGCGUAGAUAUCAGGAGGAACACCAAAGGCGAAGGCAGCUUACUGGAUUUAUACUGACACUGAGGAGCGAAAGCGUGGGUAGCGAACAGGAUUAGAGACCCUGGUAGUCCACGCCGUAAACGAUGAGCACUUGGUGGUGGGGGAUUCGACCCUUUCACUGCCGGAGUUAACGCAUUAAGUGCUCCGCCUGGGGACUACGAUCGCAAGAUUG